UCGAGUUUUGACUGGGUUGUAGCUGGCCUUCCGAGGCAUGUGCACGCCCUGCUCAUCCACUCUACACCUGUGCACUUACUGUGGGUUUCAGGUCGUGAAGCGGGCUCUUUACGGGCUCGUGAAGCGCAUCUGUUCCUGCGUUUAUCACAAACUCUAUAAAGUAUUAGAAUGUGUAUUGCGAUGUAACGCAUCUAUAUA
rnacentral:misc_RNA from 1 species